UACGUAGGGGGCAAGCGUUAUCCGGAUUUACUGGGUGUAAAGGGAGCGUAGACGGCAGCGCAAGUCUGGAGUGAAAUCCCAUGGCUUAACCAUGGAACUGCUUUGGAAACUGUGCAGCUGGAGUGCAGGAGAGGUAGGCGGAAUUCGUGGUGUAGCGGUGAAAUGCUUAGAUAUCACGAAGAACUCCGAUUGCGAAGGCAGCCUGCUGGACUGUAACUGACGCUGAUGCUCGAAAGUGUGGGUAUCAAACAGG
rnacentral:rRNA from 1 species